rnacentral:rRNA from 1 species
CAGCCGCCGCGGUAAUACGUAGGGUGCAAGCGUUAAUCGGAAUUACUGGGCGUAAAGCGUGCGCAGGCGGUUUGUUAAGACAGAUGUGAAAUCCCCGGGCUUAACCUGGGAACUGCAUUUGUGACUGGCAAGCUAGAGUAUGGCAGAGGGGGGUGGAAUUCCGCGUGUAGCAGUGAAAUGCGUAGAUAUGCGGAGGAACACCGAUGGCGAAGGCAGCCCCCUGGGCCAAUACUGACGCUCAUGCACGAAAGCGUGGGGAGCAAACAGGAUUAGAUACCCCCGUAGUCCCUGUCUCUUAUAC